rnacentral:rRNA from 1 species
GCGAGCGUUAAUCGGAAUUACUGGGCGUAAAGCGCAUGCAGGUGGUUUGUUAAGUUCAGAUGUGAAAGACCCGGGGCGUCAACCUCCGGAAAUUGCAUUUGUAAACUAGGCAGACUAGAGUACUGUAGAGGGGGGUAGGAAGUUUCAGGUGUAGCGGUGAAAUGCGUAGAGAUCUGAAGGAAUACCGGUGGCGAAGGCGGCCCCCUCGGACAGAUACUGACACUCAGAUGCGAAAGCGUGGGGAGCAAACAGGAUUAGAUACCCUGGUAG